UUUAUGUUUUUAUUAGAAGGUGCAUUGGUCCAAACAUAUUUCUAAUCAUCUAUUCAGAGAGAAACAUAGCAAACACACUUUUUAGUGCUCAUUGCCAUGGCAACCCACCUCCAGCAGUACUAACACACAAUAUCAACAGCACUAAAGUUCCUCCUUUGUGGCAAGGGAGAGCCUUUGCUGUCUUUUGACUACCAGGUUAAUGCGUGCAGACACCACACACUGUUAUAUCACAUGCACUUGAUAUGCAAGUCCUGUAGCUGGGUGGGAGGGCAGCAGUCAUGUACUGGGGGUGGGAUGUGAGGGGGGAAAUGCCUGCCUGGGGGUUUAUAGGUCAGUGUGUGUAACAGUAUAGCUUCCGUCCCUCUCCUCGCUCCUACCUGGGCUCGAACCAGGGACCCUGUGUGUGUGUGUGUGUGUGUGUGUUAGGGGGACAUAGAUAUGCAAGGCCAGUGUCAUAUGGGCAGAAAGCUUAAAUUAUUGUUAAUCUAACUGCACUGUCCAAUUUACAGUAGCUACACUCUAAAACAUGAUUGGUUCUUCUAAGAUCCUUAGGGUUCUUGGCAAUGAAAAACAGCUCCAAAAUGUUCUUCAAAACACUUCUUAGGAGGUGGAGUUCAUCGAGGAACCCCCAUUGUUGCUGGAGUUCUUCAGGAAACUUUGCAAACGCUCAUGCGACAACAGUUCAAAAGACAAUGCAAUUGGGAUCAAGAAGUAGAUCUUCUCAGAAAUUAAUCAAGUCCAUGGAACGGAUAUAGACAAAAAUAUAAUUCAAGGACUAGCAGAGGUAGAGAGGCAGGGGUGAGGACAUCAUCCUGCUAUUUCGACAGUCCCUGAAGGACAAUACAGAAGAGGCAAAACAGGGGUAUUUGCUCUUAUUCUUUCCAUUUCUCUAAUGUAUCUUGUAAUAAAAUCAUGUUAAGAUCAUUGCUCUACUUUACUAGGACUCGAGACCACAGCAUGUGUGAUUACAGGCUCAAAAUGGCCAGGAACAAAUAACUUUCUUCUGAAACUCAGUCUAUUCUUGUUCGGAGAAAUGAUGACUAGUCCAUGUGAGAAAUUGCCAAGAAACUGAAGAAACUCGUACAAUGCUGUGCACUACUCCCUUCACAGAACAGCGCAAAUAGUCUCUAACCAGAACAGAAAGAUUUUGUAAUGUGUUUGGUUUGGUAAAUUGUUUUGUAAAAUUAAUUUGCAUUUGUGGUGCCACUAAAAAAACUAUUAUUUAAAUCAGUAUUGUCAAUUUUGUUAUUAUUAUUAAAAUAUUUUCUUUAUAAUGGAGGGAGGGUGGACAAGGAGUUAAAAAAAUGAACCCCAAAAUGUUCAAUUUGAAGAACCCAUAAAGGAUACUCCAGGAACCUUUACUUUUUAGAGUGUAAUACAGUGAAAAAAAUACCACGCUAUUGUUUGAGGAGAGUGCACAACAAAACUUUUAUCACGACAACCGGUUUGAUACAUUCACCUCUGAAGGAAAAUAAUGUACAUACAUUCAGUAAUAUUGCUCUGAUUUGUCAUCCUGAGGGUCCCAGAGAUAAAAUGUAGCAUAGUUUUGUUUGAUCAAACCUAAUUUUAUAUUCAAAUGUAGGAACUGGGUACUACAGUUUGAACCCCUGUAGUGUCUGCCCCCCCCACACACACAACAAUUAUAUGGUAAUAAAAAAUGUGUAUGUUCUCUAGUUUUUUUUAUUUUCUAUAUUUUUUUAUUUAACCAGGUAGACCAGUUGAGAACAAGUUCUCAUUUACAACUGCGACCUGGCCAAGAUAAUGCAAAGCAGUUUGACAAAAAAAAACAGAGUUACACAUGGGAUAAACAAACCUACAGUCAAUAACACAAUAUAAAAUUCUAUAUACAGUGUGUGCAAAUCUAGUAAGAUUAGGGAGGUAAGGCAACAAAUAGGCCAUAGUGGCAAAAUAAUUACAAUUUAGCAUUAACACUGGAGUGAGAGAUGUGCAAGGUGGGAUACUGAUGUGCAAAAGAGCAAAAAUAAAUAUGGAGAUGAGGUAGUUGGGUGGGCUAUUUACAGAGGGGCUAUGUACAGGUGCAGUGAUCGGUAAGCUGCUUUUAGAGCGGAUGCUUAAAGUUAGUGAGGGAGAUAUAAGUCUCCAGCUUCAGUGAUUUUUUUUCAAUUCGUUCCAGUCAUUGGCAGCAGAGAACUGGAAGGAAAGGCGGCCAAAUGAGGUGUUGGCUUUGGGGAUGACCAGAAAUAUACCUGCUGGAGCGCAUGCUACGGGUGGGUGUUGCUAUGGUGACCAGUGAGCUGAAAUAAGGCAGGGCUUUACCUUGCAAAUACUUAUAGAUGACCUGGAGCCAGUGGGUUUGGCAACAAAUAUGUAGCAAGGGCCAGCCAACGAGAGUAUAGAGGUCACAGUAGUAGGUAAUAUAUGGGGCUUUGGUGACAAAACGCAUGGCACUGCGAUAGACUGCAUCCAAUUUGCUGAGUAGAGUGUUGGAGGCUAUUUUGUAAAUGACGUCGCCGAAUCAAGGAUCGGUAGGAUAGUCAGUUUUACAAGGGUAUGUUUAGCAGCAUGAGUGAAGGAGGCUUUGUUGAGAAAUAGGAAGCCAAUUCUAAAUUUUGGAUUGGAGAUGCUUCAUGUGAGUCUGGAAGGAGAGUUUACAGUCUAACCAGACUCCUUGGUAUUUAUAGUCCACAUAUUGUUAGUCAGAACCGUCCAGAGUAAUGAUGCUAGUCGGACGGGCUGAUGCAGGCAGCGAUCGGUUGAAGAGUAUACAUUUAGUUUAACUAGCAUUUAAGAGCAGUUGUGGUGUAUGGCAUUGAAGCUUGUUUGGAGGUUUGUUAACAGUGUCCAAAGAAGGUCCAGAAGUAUACAGAAUGGUGCCGUCUGCGUAGAGGUGAAUUAGAGAAUAAUCAGCAGCAAGAACGACAUCAUUGAUAUAUACAGAGAAAAUAGUCGGCCCGAGAAUUGAACCCUGUGGCACCCCCAUAGAGACUGCCAAAGGUCCGGACAACAGGCCCUCCGAUUUGACACACUGAACUCUAUCUGAGAAGUAGUUGGUGAACCAGGCGAGACAGUCAUUUGAGAAAUCAAGGCUAUUGAGUCUGCCGAUAAUUGACAGAGUGAUUGCGGUGAUUGACAGAGUCGAAAGCUUUGGCCAGGUCGAUGAAGACGGCUGCACAGUACUGUCUUUUAUCGAUGGCGGUUAUGAUAUCGUUUAGAGCCUUGAGCGUGGCUGAGGUGCACUCAUGACCAGCUCGGAAACAAGAUUGCAUAGCGAAGAAGGUACAGUGGGAUUCGAAAUGGUUGGUGAUCUGUUUGUUAACCUGUCUUUUGAAGACUUUAGAAAGGCAGGGCAGGAUGGAUAUGGGUCUGUAACAGUUUGGGUCUAGAGUGUAUCCCCCUUUGAAGAGGGGGAUGACCGCGGCAGCUUUCCAAUCUUUAGGGAUCUCAGACGAUACAAAAGAGAGGUUGAACAGGCUAGUAAUAGGGGUUGCAACAAUUUCGGCGGAUCAUUUUAGAAAUAGAGGGUCCAGAUUGUCUAACCCGGCUGAUUUGUAGGGGUCCAGAUUUUACAGCUCUUUCAGAACAUCCGCUAUCUGGAUUUGGGUGAAGGAGAAGCGGGGGGAGGCUUGGGCAAGUUGCUGUGGGGGUUUCAGAGCUUUUGGCCAGGUUAGGGGUAGCCAGGUGGAAUGCAUGAAAAUGUAUCAAUUGACCAAUUUGGCGUAUUUGGGCAGAAUAAAUACAACAUUUUGAACAGUAAUGCAAUGGUUAAUUGGAUCAAUCUAAAAUGUUGCACAUUCACUGCUGCCAUCUAGUGGCCAAAAUGUAAAUUUGGCCUGGACUCCUAUGGUAUAUAAUGGCCUUUCUCUUGCGUUUCAAAAAUUAUGGAACAAAAAAUAAAUAGAAAAUGUGUCACAUCCUGACCUUAGUUCCUUUUUUUAUGUCUCUAUUUUAGGUUGGUCAGGGUGUGAGUUGGGGUGGGCAUUCCAUGUUUUGUUCUAUGUUUGUAUUUAUAUGUGUUUGGCCUGGUAUGGUUCCCAAGCAGAGGCAGCUGUCAAUCGUUGUCUCUGAUUGAGAACCAUACUUAGGCAGCCUGAUUUCACCCUUGAGUUGUCUCUGUACCAAGCAGGACUGUUUUGUUUGUUCCGUUUUGUUCUAGUGUUCAGUGUAAUUAAAAGAUCAUGAACACGUACCACGCUGCACCUUGGUCCUCUCCUUCUUCCACCAACGACAACCAUUACAAAGUGCAUGUUUUUUUUCUUUGUAUUAUCUUUUACCAGAUCUAAUGUGUUAUUCUCCUACAUUUAUUUCACAUUUCUACGAACUGCAUUGUGUUUACUUUCAAAUUGUAUCAAGAAUAUGCAUAUCCUUGUCAUUUUAGGCAAAAAUUGAAAAAAAAGCUUGUCAAUAAUUCACUGUGAUUGGGAUUAUUCAUUAACACCCUCUGCACCACUUUAAUGCCAAUGAAACUUCAUUCCAAGUCUGUUGGAAAACACAUUUUUCUUCAUGGUUUUUCCUGCUUUAAAUAAAGGUUAAUUGCUUACUUAGGCCCAUCGCCCUGUGGGGAACAUAGGCCAUCAACUAUGCCUCUAGCGAACUUUACUUUGGGCAGUCUUCUUCUCAUUCCAGGAGAAGUCAAUCUUUCUCUGGUUAGAUGGAAAAAUAAAUACAAAUAAAUGUUAGAGGAAAAUUAAUCAUGUGUUCUCCACACA
rnacentral:lncRNA from 13 species